GAGAAAUCCUGAGCAAUCGGGAGAGUAAAGUGGCGCACGGGUGAGUAACGCGUGGGUAAUCUGCCCUGAAGCUUGGAAUAACACCUCGAAAGGGGUGCUAAUACCAAAUGACAUCCCUGGAACCCCGGUUCCGGGGAUCAAAGAUGGCUGAGGCUUGCAAGCUAUCACUUUAGGAUGAGCCCGCGGACCAUUAGCUAGUUGGUGGGGUAACGGCCCACCAAGGCCAUGAUGGUUAGCUGGUCUGAGAGGAUGGCCAGCCACACUGGAACUGAGAUACGGUCCAGACUCCUACGGGAGGCAGCAGUGAGGAAUCUUGCGCAAUGGGGGCAACCCUGACGCAGCAACGCCGCGUGAGUGAUGAAGGCCUUCGGGUCGUAAAGCUCUGUCGGAUGGGAAGAAAGUUUCCGCGACAAAUAAUCGCGGAGAUUGACGGUACCGUCAAAGGAAGCACCGGCUAACUCCGUGCCAGCAGCCGCGGUAAUACGGAGGGUGCUAGCGUUGUUCGGAAUUAUUGGGCGUAAAGAGCGUGUAGGCGGCCAGAUAAGUCAGAUGUGAAAACCCUUGGCUUAACCAAGGAAGGGCAUUUGAAACUGUCUGGCUUGAGUACGGGAGGGGGAAGUGGAAUUCUCGGUGUAGAGGUGAAAUUCGUAGAUAUCGGGAGGAACACCGGUGGCGAAGGCGGCUU
rnacentral:rRNA from 1 species